AACGAACGCUGGCGGCAGGCCUAACACAUGCAAGUCGAGCGAGGACUUCGGUCCUAGCGGCGGACGGGUGAGUAACGCGUGGGAACGUGCCCCUUGGUACGGAAUAGCCCCGGGAAACUGGGAGUAAUACCGUAUGUGCCCUUCGGGGGAAAGAUUUAUCGGCAAAGGAUCGGCCCGCGUUGGAUUAGGUAGUUGGUGGGGUAAUGGCCUACCAAGCCGACGAUCCAUAGCUGGUUUGAGAGGAUGAUCAGCCACACUGGGACUGAGACACGGCCCAGACUCCUACGGGAGGCAGCAGUGGGGAAUCUUAGACAAUGGGGGAAACCCUGAUCUAGCCAUGCCGCGUGAUCGAUGAAGGCCUUAGGGUUGUAAAGAUCUUUCAGUGGGGAAGAUAAUGACUGUACCCACAGAAGAAGCCCCGGCUAACUCCGUGCCAGCCGCCGCCGUAACAC
rnacentral:rRNA from 1 species